UGGGAUUUAUGGACUAAAUUGUAUCUUCCGACUCUCGUCCCUCGAAAGAAGUGGCAAUCGGUUCAAGGGAACCUUACUGUUGGCGACGUCGUCCUCCUGCUGGAUCCCAACCAACCGCGCGGCUCCUGGAAAAUCGGCCACGUCAAUCAAACUUAUCCGGGAGGUGAUGGACUAGUACGCGUCGUCAAGGUGAAAACAGAAGACGGCGAGUACACCCGAGCGAUUCACCGCCUAAGUCUCCUCGAGAAAGCUGCCGUAGCCGAUGUUCCUCUGGAAGAGUCUCAUUCCCCUUUAUCAAAAUAGUCCCGAUGUUUCAUUAUCUUUCUUUUCUCUCUUUGAUUUUGCUCAUCUGUUCCUUCUUUAUUCGUCUCGUCGCCGGAUGUAACAGAUUCGGGGGGAGAAUGUUGCGGCGAGAAAAGCGCCUUUCAAUUUCUCCAAUUUGGCAACGCCUAAUUUUAAGUCAAGCGCGAUUCUUUCCCCUUCCCUCCCGAGUCCUUGUGUUAAUCCGUCUGCUAGCCUUCGUACGACGUUAAGACCACGCUGGUUUCACUGUCGAAAGAGCUAGUUACUGUCACGAUUAUUAUACUUUUCUGUGUUUCGUGAAGCCAUUUAUUCAGCUUUUUCAGCUCGUUUUCUGUUCUGAGCUGUCAGUUCAAACCCUAUUCUGAGUGCUUUUGCUUGCCUAGCAUUGGCUUCAUAUCUAUAUUCCCUGUCUGUGUGCAUAUUGGUCUGGGUGACCACUCACAUUUUCUCGUGUCACCCCAGGUACAAUCCUUCCAUGUUUCUUUUCCGUUCCCCAACUAACUCUUUUUCUUUUGGUUUAGACAUCACACGUAUGUCAGUUCACUGUAUGUCAACACAGUUUGAGUCCUACACAUAUUUCAUUUUGUGUCGUGCUUGACCCAGCAUCAACUUGCGAAUAAAUUAUAGGGGCUGCUUACAACAGACCCCAGAAGAAACUCUGAAGGCUCUCACUAAAUCCAUAGCGUC